rnacentral:rRNA from 1 species
AUACGUAGGGGGCAAGCGUUAUCCGGAUUUACUGGGUGUAAAGGGCGUGUAGGCGGUUUAGCAAGUCAGAAGUGAAAUUCCCGGGCUUAACUAGGGCGCUGCUUCUGAAACUGCUUUACUUGAGUGCUGGAGAGGAUAGUGGAAUUCCUAGUGUAGCGGUAAAAUGCGCAGAUAUUAGGAGGAACACCGGUGGCGAAGGCGGCUAUCUGGACAGUAACUGACGCUGAGGCGCGAAAGCACGGGGAGCAAACAGGAUUAGAUACCCUGGUAGUCCGUGCCGUAAACGAUGAAUACUAGGUGUAGGGGGUAUCGACUCCCUCUGUGCCGCAGUUAACACAUUAAGUAUUCCACCUGGGGAGUACGGCCGCAAGGUUGAAACUCAAAUGAAUUGACGGGG